UACGUAGGGAGCAAGCGUUGUCCGGAAUCAUUGGGCGUAAAGGGUGCGUAGGUGGCGCUGUAAGUCGGGUGUGAAAUCCUGAGGCUUAACCUCGGAACUGCAUUCGAUACUGCGGCGCUUGAGGACUGGAGAGGAGACUGGAAUUCAUGGUGUAGCAGUGAAAUGCGUAGAGAUCAUGAGGAAGACCAGUGGCGAAGGCGGGUCUCUGGACAGUUCCUGACACUGAGACACGAAGGCCAGGGGAGCAAACGGG
rnacentral:rRNA from 1 species